rnacentral:rRNA from 1 species
UGGGGAAUAUUGCACAAUGGGGGAAACCCUGAUGCAGCGACGCCGCGUGAACGAAGAAGGUAUUCGUAUCGUAAAGUUCUGUCCUAUGGGAAGAUAAUGACAGUACCAUAGAAGAAAGCUCCGGCUAAAUACGUGCCAGCAGCCGCGGUAAUACGUAUGGAGCGAGCGUUGUCCGGAAUUAUUGGGCGUAAAGGGUACGCAGGCGGUUUAAUAAGUCGAAUGUUAAAGAUCGGGGCUCAACCCCGCAAAGCAUUGGAAACUGAUAAACUUGAGUAGUGGAGAGGAAAGUGGAAUUCCUUGUGUAGUGGUGAAAUACGUAGAUAUUAGGAGGAAUACCAGUAGCGAAGGCGACUUUCUGGACACAAACUGACGCUGAGGUACGAAAGCGUGGGGAGCAAACAGG